AGAACGAACGCUGGCGGCAUGCCUAACACAUGCAAGUCGAACGAGACCUUCGGGUCUAGUGGCGCACGGGUGCGUAACGCGUGGGAAUCUGCCCUUGGGUACGGAAUAACAGUUAGAAAUGACUGCUAAUACCGUAUAAUGACUUCGGUCCAAAGAUUUAUCGCCCAGGGAUGAGCCCGCGGAGGAUUAGCUAGUUGGUGAGGUAAAGGCUCACCAAGGCGACGAUCCUUAGCUGGUCUGAGAGGAUGAUCAGCCACACUGGGACUGAGACACGGCCCAGACUCCUACGGGAGGCAGCAGGUGGGGAAUAGUUGGACAAUGGGCGAAAGCCUGAUCCAGCAAUGCCGCGUGAGUGAUGGAAGGCCUUAGGUUGUAAAGCUCUUUACCGGGAUGAUAAUGACAGUACGGAGAAGUAACGCCCCGAUAACCUCCGUACGCCAGCAGCCGC
rnacentral:rRNA from 1 species